CUGAUGAACAGAAAAUGCUACCCUUUCAAUGAUUGGCUCUAGACACCUCCCCAAAUGGCUACUUUCCUCCCACAGUGCUCCUGGAGGCAGGCACUUCACUGAAGAUUGUCUUUAUUGGUCAGGCUAGCUCUACUUUCCCAGGCUUUUUCCUGUCAAUCAGUUGAACUCUAACCUGUCUCUCAGACAUUGCUCCUCCUCUGAGUGGGCAUGCUGGUAGCCAUCCAGGCGCACCUGCUAUAACUCCUCCAAGCCAACUGGGGCCUCUAUUGCUUAAAAUAGCAUCUCUCCCAGUCUGUGCUUGCCCUCCCCUGCUUCUCUCAAGGACAUCUUGCCUCUGCCUGAGUUUCCAGCACAGAGACACCCAAGAACCAAGGCCCAGCACCCUCCUCCUGCACAGAUCCCUGGACCAGAUAAAAAUUCUUCAUGCAGUCCAAAAUGUGGGGAGAGGACACAGAUCCCCUUUUCUGCACAGUUUGAGUGAUUUGCACAUGGAGGAGACAACAUGAGGAUCUGAGGGCAUGAUGUCACUACAUACACCUCUUUUUCUUUUCUUUUUUUUUAAGGGAUAGUUUCAUAGACUUAAAUAUAGAAAAAGAUUUUGGAUAGGGACAAAAAUGAUGGGACCUUGAUCUGGAUUAGGGUAACUAGAUGAUACCAUAAUACAAAUAAAUAAUAAAUUAAUAAAAAGCUCUAAAUAGGAUAUUUUUAUAUAUAUACUACUUAUAUAAGUUAUAUAGUAUAUUACUUAUACAAUAUCUUCCUGUACUGCAUUCACAUUUUUUCACUUUGAGCUCAUAUCUCAUUACUGUCAACUGUCCUCACCGGAUCCUCUGUAUUACUGCUUUUGAGCAAUAAUCUCCCAUCUAUUUUGUCUGAUAAUAAUCCUCACAUUUAUUAUGGCACAUUGCAAUAUUGUUGGGAGUC